AAACAAUACAUUUUAAAUUUGACAUUUCCAAUAAACUGCUGUUGAGCCCAGUUUAUUUAGUAGUUCACAAAAGACCCAUCAAUACAUACAUUGUGUAGCUUUCCGCAUUGAAAUUGGUCAUCGUUUGUGGCGGUGCCACAAUCAAGCAAUGAAAAACAUCAUGCAAGAUUCGAUACAGAAGGAUUCAUAUUGCUAACAAAUCUAUUAUAUGAUAAAAAAAUCCCAUCCUGAACGUUAACAACAACACCAACACCAACAAUAAUAACACCAACAACAAAAACAACAAUGAUUAUGGUGAUGAUGACAAUAAUCGUUGCCGCCAAUCAUUCGACGUGCUUAUGAUUCGGGACAAAUUGAGAGAAUUAUUGGUUGUGAUCCGGGCUACAGGGAAUUUGUGGAGGUCGUACACAAAGAUUUGGCAACCGGUAAUGAAGAAAAUUGUCUGAAAUCAUCGAAAGAGUGGCACCAUAUGACCGAUUUUUUCAACCGCCAAUACAAACUGAAGCGAUUUACGGGUGCGUUUGAGAAAAAAUGCCGUAAACUGCGCGAAAAUCGCCAAAUUUAUGAAGAAACGCUUUCGAAGAAAAGUGCCGACUACCGUACCUAUCUGGAUUACCAGCUGGAUGUAUUCAAUGAAUCAUGCGAGAUAAAGUACCAAAAGCGUGUGGUUCGUUUAAAGUUUGAUGCAUAUACACGUACGCAGGUAUCAUUGCAUGUGUUGGUGAAGCAAACGACAAAAGUCGAUCGUAAAAUGUCGGAUCUGAGAAAACAGUGAUAUUGGCAUUUGGUGGUGCAAAAUUUGCAUCAAACUCACCCAUCAAAGGAUAUCUACGGUGUCCGCAUCGAGCAUUGCAACAAAUGGCACGUGAAUAUGUAUUCGUUUUGUCAAUCAACGAACACAAUACAUUCCCAGAAAUGCAGUUGAUCAGAACGUAAGCUCAAGAAACGAAGGAGCGUGCCAGAACGUCAAUCAAGAGACCGUUUUCUAGUUUGCCCCAACUGUAAACCGGUCGAAGAUAGUGUUUUUCACGAUCCAAUUCAAUAGACAGGCAGAGUUCACCGUAUAUACAAAAAGAAACAUCGAGAAUGGAAAUACCGAUCCAUAUAUACAUUCCAUUGACCGGUUCCAGAAGCAAAUCCAAAUCCACAACCAAGAAAAAAGAAAGAUAGAUACAAUACAAGAAGCAGGUGGAACCGAUAACAUCAGUUGACAUGGUUGAUAGAUAAUCUGUUUUCGUUAAAUCAUAUAAUAAAGUGUGAUAAAAUGUUUAGGAGAUUUCGCCCAAUUCGCUUCUUAUACGCCUACUGCAUUGUACUUAGAAUAAUUUAAAUUGUAUUAAAUUAUAAUAUUGGAGCAGUCGAUUUGUUAUGGUGAAUAUAAAAAGUUGGUUUUUAAUCGGCAUUUCAUUUGUUAUUGUGUUUAAUGCAACGAAAGACUUCAAAGUGUCUGUUUACGUUGGUCUAGAAAAAUUGUAAAUUUAUGGUUAAUUGUCGGAUUUGAUGGUUCCCAUUAUCCGGCCUUCAAGCAACGGCAACAGAUCAUAAUCGUUAACCACUUCCUCUUGAACGAUUUUUUUCAAUGUCUCACAAUGUAUUUGGAAGUAAUACCUACAAAUAAACAAAUAUUGCAAUGAAAUAAAUUGUUUUAAGCUAAAAAAAUACACAUGAAUCAUGUGACAUGAUAUACCUGAAAUUUCCCUUCUUCGGUAAAUAUUCCUUGAAAUGCUUAAGGGUUAAUCGUUCGCCCUGUAUUUUUAUUCGAUAUGGUAUAUCCUCAUCGCUAAAUGUAUAAACAGCAAUUGUGUAAUCUUCAAUUGGUUCGUGAUUUCGACUCGUAUUUCGGGGUAAUGAGAUGGUGUGAUAGCUCGAUGUUGCCGGCAUAUAAUUUGUUUGAUGAUAGUAGCUUGGUGGUAUCGGCAUUUGUUUUCGCGUUCGUUUCAAAUCAUCCUUGGAUGAUUUACACAUUGUCUCACUAGACAAUUGUUCACUGUUUCAGAAGAUCGGUAUUAAACCCUCCUAGGUAUAGAGGCGGUCCAAUGGACCGAAAUUUUUGAAAAAAUUGAAUAAAAAUCUAAGUAAAUUAAAAAAAAUCAAAAUUUCUCGGGCAGAUUAUUCGUAUAGAAGUUUAUAAUUCAUGUGCAUACUGUUUCUAUCAUAAAAUAAUUGUAUAUGUUGUGGACAUUUGAUAAAACCAAAUCUCACUUAGAACGUAUAGUACAAAAUGUAUGAAAACCUCAUAUAAACAUUAAAAAAUAAAACAAUUCUAAACUGUCAAA